rnacentral:rRNA from 1 species
AUUGAACGCUGGCGGCAUGCUUUACACAUGCAAGUCGAACGGCAGCGCGGGCUUCGGCCUGGCGGCGAGUGGCGAACGGGCGAGUAAUGCAUCGGAACGUGCCCAGCAGUGGGGGAUAGGCCGGCGACAGCCGGAUUAAUACCGUAUACGACCUGAGGGUGAAAGCGGGGGACCGAAAGGCCUCGCGCGAUUGGAGCGGCCGAUGACGGAUUAGCUAGUUGGUGGGGUAAAGGCGUACCAAGGCGACGAUCCGUAGCUGGCCUGAGAGGACGACCGGCCACACUGGAACUGAGACACGGCCCAGACUCCUACGGGAGGCAGCAGUGGGGAAUUUUGGACAAUGGGCGCAACCCUGAUCCAGCCAUGCCGCGUGCGGGAAGAAGGCCUUCGGGUUGUAAACCGUUUUUGUUCGGGAAGAAAUCCUCUGGGCUAAUACCCCGGGGGGAUGACGGUACCGAAAGAAUAAGCACCGGCUAACUACGUG